GGAGAGAUGACUGAGUGGUUGUUAGCCAGUCCUGAAAACGGGUAAAGUUCGAAACAAAGAGCUAUCGAGGGUUCGAAUUCCUCUCUCUCCU
rfam:Glycine soja cultivar W05 scaffold978_69, whole genome shotgun sequence.